rnacentral:rRNA from 1 species
UACGUAGGUGGCAAGCGGUGUCCGGAUUUAUUGGGUUUAAAGGGUGCGUAGGCGGCUUAAUAAGUCAGUGGUGAAAGCCGAUCGCUUAACGAUCGAACUGCCAUUGAUACUGCUAGGCUUGAGUAUAGUUGAGGUAGGCGGAAUUGACAGUGUAGCGGUGAAAUGCAUAGAUAUUGUCAAGAACACCAAUUGCGAAGGCAGCUUACUAAAGUAUAACUGACGCUGAGGCACGAAAGUGCGGGGAUCAAACAGG